rnacentral:misc_RNA from 1 species
GAUGAAGAACGUAGCGAAAUGCGAUAAGUAAUGUGAAUUGCAGAAUUCAGUGAAUCAUCGAAUCUUUGAACGCACAUUGCGCCCGCCAGUAUUCUGGCGGGCAUGCCUGUUCGAGCGUCAUUUCAACCAUCAAGCCCCAGGCUUGUGUUGGGGACCUGCGGCUGCCGCAGGCCCUGAAAACCAGUGGCGGGCUCGCUGUCACACCGGGCGUAGUAGAUUUUAUCUCGCUCAGGGCGUGCUGCGGGUUCCGGCCGUUAAAAAGCCUUUUUUACCCAAGGUUGACCUCGGAUCAGGUAGGACGACCCGCUGAACUUAAGCAUAUCAAUAAGCGGAGGA